rnacentral:rRNA from 1 species
CCUAACACAUGCAAGUCGAACGGUAACAGGAAGAAGCUUCGCUUCUUUGCUGACGAGUGGCGGACGGGUGAGUAAUGUCUGGGAAACUGCCUGAUGGAGGGGGAUAACUACUGGAAACGGUAGCUAAUACCGCAUAACGUCGCAAAACCAAAGAGGGGGACCUUCGGGCCUCUUGCCAUCGGAUGUGCCCAGAUGGGAUUAGCUAGUAGGUGGGGUAACGGCUCACCUAGGCGACGAUCCCUAGCUGGUCUGAGAGGAUGACCAGCCACACUGGAACUGAGACACGGUCCAGACUCCUACGGGAGGCAGCAGUGGGGAAUAUUGCACAAUGGGCGCAAGCCUGAUGCAGCCAUGCCGCGUGUAUGAAGAAGGCCUUCGGGU